GACGAACCGUGCGAACGUUAUUCGGAAUCACUGGGCUUAAAGCGCGUGUAGGCGGAUGGCCGCGUCGGCCGCUGAAAUCCCCCGGCUCAACCGGGGAACGGGCGCCGAGACGGGCCGUCUCGAGGGGGGUAGGGGGCGCUGGAACUUCCGGUGGAGCGGUGAAAUGCGUUGAGAUCGGAAGGAACGCCCGCGGCGAAAGCGAGCGCCUGGACCCUUAUCUGACGCUGAGACGCGAAAGCCAGGGG
rnacentral:rRNA from 1 species